CUAGCAUAUCAAUAAGCGGAGGAAAAGAAACCAACAGGGAUUGCCCUAGUAACGGCGAGUGAAGCGGCAACAGCUCAAAUUUGAAAUCUGGCUCUUUUAGAGUCCGAGUUGUAAUUUGCAGAGGGCGCUUUGGCUUUGGCAGCGGUCCAAGUUCCUUGGAACAGGACGUCACAGAGGGUGAGAAUCCCGUACGUGGUCGCUGGCUAUUGCCGUGUAAAGCCCCUUCGACGAGUCGAGUUGUUUGGGAAUGCAGCUCUAAAUGGGAGGUACAUUUCUUCUAAAGCUAAAUAUUGGCCAGAGACCGAUAGCGCACAAGUAGAGUGAUCGAAAGAUGAAAAGCACUUUGGAAAGAGAGUCAAACAGCACGUGAAAUUGUUGAAAGGGAAGCGCUUGCAGCCAGACUUGCUUGCAGUUGCUCAUCCGGGCUUUUGCCCGGUGCACUCUUCUGUAGGCAGGCCAGCAUCAGUUUGGGCGGUAGGAUAAAGGUCUCUGUCACGUACCUCUCUUCGGGGAGGCCUUAUAGGGGAGACGACAUACUACCAGCCUGGACUGAGGUCCGCGCAUCUGCUAGGAUGCUGGCGUAAUGGCUGUAAGCGGCCCGUCUUGAAACACGGACCAAGGAGUCUAACAUCUAUGCGAGUGUUUGGGUGUCAAGCCCGAGCGCGUAAUGAAAGUGAACGGAGGUGGGAACCCGCAAGGGUGCACCAUCGACCGAUCCUGAUGUCUUCGGAAGGAUUUGAGUAAGAGCAUGGCUGUUGGGACCCGAAAGAUGGUGAACUAUGCUUGAAUAGGGUGAAGCCAGAGGAAACUCUGGUGGAGGCUCGCAGCGGUUCUGACGUGCAAAUCGAUCGUCAAAUUUGGGCAUAGGGGCGAAAGACUAAUCGAACUAUCUAGUAGCUGGUCCUGCGA
rnacentral:rRNA from 1 species